AUUGAACGCUGGCGGCAGGCCUAACACAUGCAAGUCGAGCGGCAGCGGGGGAAAGCUUGCUUUCCUGCCGGCGAGCGGCGGACGGGUGAGUAAUGUCCGGGAAACUGCCUGAUGGAGGGGGAUAACUACUGGAAACGGUAGCUAAUACCGCAUAACGUCUUCGGACCAAAGUGGGGGACCUUCGGGCCUCAUGCCAUCAGAUGUGCCCAGAUGGGAUUAGCUAGUAGGUGGGGUAACGGCUCACCUAGGCGACGAUCCCUAGCUGGUCUGAGAGGAUGACCAGCCACACUGGAACUGAGACACGGUCCAGACUCCUACGGGAGGCAGCAGUGGGGAAUAUUGCACAAUGGGCGCAAGCCUGAUGCAGCCAUGCCGCGUGUAUGAAGAAGGCCUUCGGGUUGUAAAGUACUUUCAGCGGGGAGGAAGGUGUUGUGGUUAAUAACCAGAGCAAUUGACGUUACCCGCAGAAGAAGCACCGGCUAACUCCGUGCCAGCCGCCGCCGUAACAC
rnacentral:rRNA from 1 species